rnacentral:rRNA from 1 species
GACGAGUCGAGUUGUUUGGGAAUGCAGCUCUAAAUGGGUGGUAAAUUUCAUCUAAAGUAAAUACUGGCCGGAGACCGAUAGCGCACAAGUAGAGUGAUCGAAUUGAAGCACUUGGCG